rnacentral:tRNA from 1 species
UUCCUAGAGGACUAGUGGUUAGGCUUCGGCGCUCUCAUUGCCGCGGCCGGGUUUGAUUCCUGGCCAGGGAA